CACGUAGGGGGCAAGCGUUGUCCGGAUUUAUUGGGCGUAAAGAGCUCGUAGGUGGUUCGGUAAGUCGGGUGUUAAACCCCCAGGCUCAACCUGGGGACGCCACUCGAUACUGCUGUGACUAGAGUCCGGUAGGGGAGCGUGGAAUUCCAGGUGUAGCGGUGAAAUGCGUAGAUAUCUGGAGGAACACCGGUGGCGAAGGCGGCAUCCUGGACCAACACUGACGCUGAGGAGCGAAAGCCAGGGGAGCAAACGGG
rnacentral:rRNA from 1 species